GCUGGUGGCAUCAUUGGUGGGUGGCCUCUCUAGAAUAUGGAGAAGGAAAGGACCUUGCUACUCAAUGUCAACAAUAGGGGAUUGUCUCUCUUUAGAUAUCGAUUGUAAGUGAUCCUGUUAUCUUGCGGGUUUCAGCCAGCGGG